GGGGGUUUAGCUCAGCGGUAGAGCACUUGCCUAGCAAGCGCAAGGCCCUGGGUUCAGUCCCCAGCUCCG
rnacentral:tRNA from 1 species